GUACGAGAGGACCGGAGUGGACGCAUCACUGGUGUUCGGGUUGUCAUGCCAAUGGCACUGCCCGGUAGCUAAAUGCGGAAGAGAUAAGUGCUGAAAGCAUCUAAGCACGAAACUUGCCCCGAGAUGAGUUCUCCCUGACCCUUUAAGGGUCCUGAAGGAACGUUGAAGACGACGACGUUGAUAGGCCGGGUGUGUAAGCGCAGCGAUGCGUUGAGCUAACCGGUACUAAUGAACCGUGAGGCUUAACCUUAC
rnacentral:rRNA from 1 species